ACAUGCGGAGAACUUUCCAGAGAUGGAUGGUGCCUUCGGGAACUCUGACACAGGUGCUGCAUGGCUGUCGUCAGCUCGUGUCGUGAGAUGUUGGGUUAAGUCCGUAACGAGCGCAACCCUUGUCCUUAGUUACCAGCACGUUAUGGUGGGCACUCUAAGGAGACUGCCGGUGACAAACCGGAGGAAGGUGGGGAUAACGUCAAGUCAUCAUGGCCCUUACGGCCUGGGCUACACACGUGCUACAAUGGUCGGUACAAAGGGUUGCCAAGCCGCGAGGUGGAGCUAAUCCCAUAAAACCGAUCGUAGUCCGGAUCGCAGUCUGCAACUCGACUGCGUGAAGUCGGAAUCGCUAGUAAUCGUGAAUCAGAAUGUCACGGUGAAUACGUUCCCGGGCCUU
rnacentral:rRNA from 1 species